UAAUAAUGUUUUGGUUGUUCGAGAGGGAGACGGUCUUUCUUCCACUUGAUUUGGUUGCUUUGUGUUUCGGUGUUGUGGAAUGAAAUGAAUAAUCGGCUUUUUAGAAAUAGACAAAGUACUUUGCCACAAAU